rnacentral:rRNA from 1 species
AUGAACGCUGGCGGCGUGCCUAAUACAUGCAAGUCGAGCGAACAGACGAGGAGCUUGCUCCUCUGACGUUAGCGGCGGACGGGUGAGUAACACGUGGAUAACCUACCUAUAAGACUGGGAUAACUUCGGGAAACCGGAGCUAAUACCGGAUAAUAUAUUGAACCGCAUGGUUCAAUAGUGAAAGACGGUUUUGCUGUCACGUAUAGAUGGAUCCGCGCCGCAUUAGCUAGUUGGUAAGGUAACGGCUUACCAAGGCAACGAUGCGUAGCCGACCUGAGAGGGUGAUCCGCCACACUGGAACUGAGACACGGUCCAGACUCCUACGGGAGGCAGCAGUAGGGAAUCUUCCGCAAAGGGCGAAAGCUUGACGGAGCAACGCCGCGUGAGUGAUGAAGGUCUUCGGAUCGUAAAACUCUGUUAUUAGGGAAGAACAAAUGUGUAAGUAACUAUGCACGUCUUGACGGUACCUAAUCAGAAAGCCACGGCUAACUACGUG